GAUGAACGCUGGCGGCGUGCCUAAUACAUGCAAGUCGAGCGAACGGACGAGAAGCUUGCCUCUCUGGUGUUAGCCGCGGACGGGUGAGUAACACGUGGACAACCUCCCUAUAAGACAGGGAUAACUUCGGGAAACCGUAGCUAAUACGGGAUAAGAUUUUGAACCGCAGGGCUCAAAAGUGCAAGAGGGCCUUGCUGUCACUUAUAGAUGGAUCCGCGCGGCAUUAGCUAGUUGGUAAGGUAACGGCUUACCAAGGCAACGAUGCAUAGCCGGCCUGAGAGGGUGAUCAGCCACACUGGAACUGAGACACGGUCCAGACUCCUACGGGAGGCAGCAGUGGGGAAUUUUCCGCAAAGGGCGAAAGCCUGAUGGAGCAACGCCGCGUGAGUGAUGAAGGUCUUCGGAUCGUAAACCUCUGUUAUUAGGGAAGAACAGAUGUGUAAGUAACUGUGCACAUCUUGACGGUACCGAAUCAGAAAGCCCCGGCUAACUACGUG
rnacentral:rRNA from 1 species